UUCAAACGCCGAUCGUAAAGAAUUGGCUAAAUCCAAUUUUGCCGAAUUUACAGAAGAACGGGUUAAACA
rnacentral:misc_RNA from 1 species